rnacentral:circRNA from 1 species
AGUCAAAACAUUUUUGGCCUCGAUGUCAUUGAAACACCAGAAGGAGACAAGAUGCCACAACUGAUUGUUCAAAAGGAGUUAGAUAGGGAAGAGAAGGAUACCUACGUGAUGAAAGUAAAGGUUGAAGAUGGUGGCUUUCCUCAAAGAUCCAGUACUGCUAUUUUGCAAGUGAGUGUUACUGAUACAAAUGACAACCACCCAGUCUUUAAGGAGACAGAGAUUGAAGUCAGUAUACCAGAAAAUGCUCCUGUAGGCACUUCAGUGACACAGCUCCAUGCCACAGAUGCUGACAUAGGUGAAAAUGCCAAGAUCCACUUCUCUUUCAGCAAUCUAGUCUCCAACAUUGCCAGGAGAUUAUUUCACCUCAAUGCCACCACUGGACUUAUCACAAUCAAAGAACCACUGGAUAGGGAAGAAACACCAAACCACAAGUUACUGGUUUUGGCAAGUGAUGGUGGAUUGAUGCCAGCAAGAGCAAUGGUGCUGGUAAAUGUUACAGAUGUCAAUGAUAAUGUCCCAUCCAUUGACAUAAGAUACAUCGUCAAUCCUGUCAAUGACACAGUUGUUCUUUCAGAAAAUAUUCCACUCAACACCAAAAUUGCUCUCAUAACUGUGACGGAUAAGGAUGCGGACCAUAAUGGCAGGGUGACAUGCUUCACAGAUCAUGAAAUCCCUUUCAGAUUAAGGCCAGUAUUCAGUAAUCAGUUCCUCCUGGAGACUGCAGCAUAUCUUGACUAUGAGUCCACAAAAGAAUAUGCCAUUAAAUUACUGGCUGCAGAUGCUGGCAAACCUCCUUUGAAUCAGUCAGCAAUGCUCUUCAUCAAAGUGAAAGAUGAAAAUGACAAUGCUCCAGUUUUCACCCAGUCUUUCGUAACUGUUUCUAUUCCUGAGAAUAACUCUCCUGGCAUCCAGUUGACGAAAGUAAGUGCAAUGGAUGCAGACAGUGGGCCUAAUGCUAAGAUCAAUUACCUGCUAGGCCCUGAUGCUCCACCUGAAUUCAGCCUGGAUUGUCGUACAGGCAUGCUGACUGUAGUGAAGAAACUAGAUAGAGAAAAAGAGGAUAAAUAUUUAUUCACAAUUCUGGCAAAAGAUAACGGGGUACCACCCUUAACCAGCAAUGUCACAGUCUUUGUAAGCAUUAUUGAUCAGAAUGACAAUAGCCCAGUUUUCACUCACAAUGAAUACAACUUCUAUGUCCCAGAAAACCUUCCAAGGCAUGGUACAGUAGGACUAAUCACUGUAACUGAUCCUGAUUAUGGAGACAAUUCUGCAGUUACGCUCUCCAUUUUAGAUGAGAAUGAUGACUUCACCAUUGAUUCACAAACUGGUGUCAUCCGACCAAAUAUUUCAUUUGAUAGAGAAAAACAAGAAUCUUACACUUUCUAUGUAAAGGCUGAGGAUGGUGGUAGAGUAUCACGUUCUUCAAGUGCCAAAGUAACCAUAAAUGUGGUUGAUGUCAAUGACAACAAACCAGUUUUCAUUGUCCCUCCUUCCAACUGUUCUUAUGAAUUGGUUCUACCGUCCACUAAUCCAGGCACAGUGGUCUUUCAGGUAAUUGCUGUUGACAAUGACACUGGCAUGAAUGCAGAGGUUCGUUACAGCAUUGUAGGAGGAAACACAAGAGAUCUGUUUGCAAUCGACCAAGAAACAGGCAACAUAACAUUGAUGGAGAAAUGUGAUGUUACAGACCUUGGUUUACACAGAGUGUUGGUCAAAGCUAAUGACUUAGGACAGCCUGAUUCUCUCUUCAGUGUUGUAAUUGUCAAUCUGUUCGUGAAUGAGUCGGUGACCAAUGCUACACUGAUUAAUGAACUGGUGCGCAAAAGCACUGAAGCACCAGUGACCCCAAAUACUGAGAUAGCUGAUGUAUCCUCACCAACUAGUGACUAUGUCAAGAUCCUGGUUGCAGCUGUUGCUGGCACCAUAACUGUCGUUGUAGUUAUUUUCAUCACUGCUGUAGUAAGAUGUCGCCAGGCACCACACCUUAAGGCUGCUCAGAAAAACAAGCAGAAUUCUGAAUGGGCUACCCCAAACCCAGAAAACAGGCAGAUGAUAAUGAUGAAGAAAAAGAAAAAGAAGAAGAAGCAUUCCCCUAAGAACUUGCUGCUUAAUUUUGUCACUAUUGAAGAAACUAAGGCAGAUGAUGUUGACAGUGAUGGAAACAGAGUCACACUAGACCUUCCUAUUGAUCUAGAAGAGCAAACAAUGGGAAAGUACAAUUGGGUAACUACACCUACUACUUUCAAGCCCGACAGCCCUGAUUUGGCCCGACACUACAAAUCUGCCUCUCCACAGCCUGCCUUCCAAAUUCAGCCUGAAACUCCCCUGAAUUCGAAGCACCACAUCAUCCAAGAACUGCCUCUCGAUAACACCUUUGUGGCCUGUGACUCUAUCUCCAAGUGUUCCUCAAGCAGUUCAGAUCCCUACAGCGUUUCUGACUGUGGCUAUCCAGUGACGACCUUCGAGGUACCUGUGUCCGUACACACCAGACCG